rnacentral:misc_RNA from 1 species
GACAAGAAAAAAAAGUUCAUAAGAGUAAAAUACAAUUACUCAAAACUUUCAAACUUUGACCUCAAUAUGUUUUCCGAAUUUCUCAUAAUAUAGCAAUAGGCAAAAAAUAUAAUAUUUAUACUGAUCCAUGCUAUAUAUCUCAUAAAAUAUUUCAAUCGGAUUGUAACGUGAAACUUUUAAAUCGGAUCACAAAUCGAAUCCAUGAAAACAUAUUCAAUUUCCU